UGAGAUAGAAACUAUGGCUCUAAACUACAAGAUUAACGACUACUGAAUUCUUCAAGAUUAAUUGUUCAAUUUGAUUGCAAUUGAUCAAGAAAACAAUACACAUUCAUUACUAUUGAAUUGUAAAGAAACAAGAACUGAAAAUAAGAUUGAAUCGAAAACUAAAUCUGUGCUGAGAAAUAUUGUAGGAAGAAUUGACGGAAUUGAACCUGGAAACUGACCUGAAUUGAUACCGAAAAUACGACGGAAGAUGAAAAUCAAAAACGCGAAAUCGAAUUCAAGAACACCGAGAGCAAACAGCAGAAGAUCGGAAAAAGAAGAACUCAC
rnacentral:lncRNA from 1 species